UACGAGGGGGGCAAGCGUUGUUCGGAAUUAUUGAGCGUAAAGGGCGCGUAGGCGGUGCGGUAAGUCUGUUGUGAAAUCUCCGGGCUCAACUCGGAGUCUGCAUCAGAAACUGCCGUGCUUGAGUGUGGGAGAGGUGAGUGGAAUUCCCGGUGUAGCGGUGAAAUGCGUAGAUAUCGGGGAGGAACACCUGUGGCGAAAGCGGCUCACUGGACCACAACUGACGCUGAGGCGCGAAAAGCUAGGGGGAGCGAACGGGG
rnacentral:rRNA from 1 species